CAAUAGCGUAUAUUUAAGUUGUUGCAGUUAAAAAGCUCGUAGUCGGAUUUUGGCUGAGAACGAUCGGUCCGCCGUUAGGUGUGCACUGAUUGGUCUCAGCUUCCUGGUGAGGAGGUGUGCUUCACGGCCACUUAGUCACCGUGGUUACUUUGAAAAAAUUAGAGUGUUCAAAGCGGGCUUACGCCUGAAUAUAUUAGCAUGGAAUAACACCAUAGGACUCCUGUCCUAUUUCGUUGGUCUCGGGACGGGAGUAAUGAUUAAGAGGAACAGUUGGGGGCAUUCGUAUUUCAUUGUCAGAGGUGAAAUUCUUGGAUUUAUGAAAGACGAACUUCUGCGAAAGCAUUUGCCAAGGAUGUUUUCAUUGA
rnacentral:rRNA from 1 species